UUGGGUCUUGCUCAGAUGUGUUGAUGAUGCAGAAGCAAGCCGAUUGAUGAAAGAGAUUCACGAGGGAUCAUUCGGUACCCAUGCCAGUGGGAAUGCAAUGGUAAAGAAGCUGCUGAGAGUAAGCCGAUUGAUGAAAGAGGUUCACGAGGGAUCAUUCGGUACCCAUGCCAGUGGGAAUGCAAUGGUAAAGAAGCUGCUGAGAGCAGGUUAUUACUGGAUGACUAUGGAGGCCCAAUGUUUUAAUUUCAUGCGGAAGUGUCAUAAAUG
rnacentral:lncRNA from 1 species